rnacentral:misc_RNA from 1 species
GAUGAAGAACGCAGCGAAAUGCGAUACGUAAUGUGAAUUGCAGAAUUCAGUGAAUCAUCGAGUCUUUGAACGCACAUUGCGCCCCCUGGUAUUCCGGGGGGCAUGCCUGUCCGAGCGUCAUUGCUGCCCUCAAGCACGGCUUGUGUGUUGGGCCUCCGUCCUCCUCCCGGGGGACGGGCCCGAAAGGCAGCGGCGGCACCGCGUCCGGUCCUCGAGCGUAUGGGGCUUCGUCACCCGCUCUUGUAGGCCCGGCCGGCGCUUGCCGACACAUCAAUCUUUUUUCGAGGUUGACCUCGGAUCAGGUAGGGAUACCCGCUGAACUUAAGCAUAUCAAUAAGCGGAGGA